rnacentral:tRNA from 1 species
GGCCCCGUCGUCUAGAGGCCUAGGAUAUCAGGUUUUCAUCCUGAAGAUCGCGGGUUCGAAUCCCGCCGGGGCUGCCA